rnacentral:tRNA from 1 species
UCCCUGGUGGCUCAAAUGGUAAAGCAUCUGCCUGCAAUGCAGGAGACCCAGGUUCGAUUCCUGGGUUGGAAA